rnacentral:rRNA from 1 species
UUAACACAUGCAAGUCGAGCGGUAAGGCCCUUCGGGGUACACGAGCGGCGAACGGGUGAGUAACACGUGGGUGAUCUGCCCUGCACUUCGGGAUAAGCCUGGGAAACUGGGUCUAAUACCGGAUAUGACCAAAGGCUGCAUGGUUUUUGGUGGAAAGGUUUACUGGUGCAGGAUGGGCCCGCGGCCUAUCAGCUUGUUGGUGGGGUAAUGGCCUACCAAGGCGACGACGGGUAGCCGACCUGAGAGGGUGACCGGCCACACUGGGACUGAGACACGGCCCAGACUCCUACGGGAGGCAGCAGUGGGGAAUAUUGCACAAUGGGCGAAAGCCUGAUGCAGCGACGCCGCGUGAGGGAUGACGGCCUUCGGGUUGUAAACCUCUUUCAGCAGGGACGAAGCGAAAGUGACGGUACCUGCAGAAGAAGCACCGGCCAACUACGUGCCAGCAGCCGCGGUAAUACGUAGGGUGCAAGCGUUGUCCGGAAUUACUGGGCGUAAAGAGCUCGUAGGCGGUUUGUCGCGUCGUCUGUGAAAAUUCGAGGCUCAACCUCGAGCUUGCAGGCGAUACGGGCAGACUUGAGUACUGCAGGGGAGACUGGAAUUCCUGGUGUAGCGGUGAAAUGCGCAGAUAUCAGGAGGAACACCGGUGGCGAAGGCGGGUCUCUGGGCAGUAACUGACGCUGAGGAGCGAAAGCGU